CCUCUGCACCAUGGGAAACCAGCAGCUGAGUGAACUCCAUUUAUCACUCUCACCCUCCUAAAAAAGAAAUCUAUUUCCCCAUAGAGCUUGCUAGAAUGAAUAAAAUCUAAAACCAAAUUUCUGUACAGACAGACUUCAGGCUAAAUCUUCAACUCGUGGGAUUAACUUUGUUGAACCUACAGCGAUUGUACUAGGAUAUUAAGUCAUGGAUUCAUGGAUCAAAACUUGUUAGCAGAGUUACUCCCUACCAAUGGCUCUCUUUGUCUUACAUGGAAGUGAUGCUGUUGCAUCCUGAUAAGGCCUUUACCAGCUCCAUCUGACCAUUUCCACGCUACUCUUCCUGCAGUUUUCUGAAAAAUCUGACCUCUAGAAUUGACUUUGCAACCAUUUGGUGACUCUGUAUCCUAUCUGCUAAAGAAGCCCUGAGAGCAGAUCUGGGAGCAAUGCCAGAGACAAGAGGCUUUGCCAAGCUGUUCUGGGGACCAGCUCAUUCUGCCCUGUU